CGCGGUAAUUCCAGCUCCAAUAGCGUAUACUAAAGUGUUGCAGUUAAAAAGCUCGUAGUUGGAUUUCUGGCGGGGACGGCUGGUCGGUCUCGAAAGGGGCUGUACUGUUGUUGGUUCCCGUCAUCCUUGGGGAGAGCGGCUCUUACAUUAAGUUGUCGGCGUCGGGAUCCCUAUCUUUUACUGUGAAAAAAUUAGAGUGUUCAAAGCAGGCUUAGGCCCUGAAUACAUUAGCAUGGAAUAAUAAGAUACGACCUUGGUGGUCUAUUUUGUUGGUUUGCACGCCAAGGUAAUGAUUAAUAGGGAUAGUUGGGGGUAUUCGUAUUCAAUUGUCAGAGGUGAAAUUCUUGGAUUUAUGGAAGACGAACUACUGCGAAAGCAUUUACCAAGGGUGUUUUCAUUAAUCAAGAACGAAAGUUAGGGGAUCGAAGAUGAUUAGAUACCAUCGUAGUCUUAACCAUAAACUAUGCCGACUAGGGAUCGGUGGGUGCAUUUUUAGGCCUCAUCGGCACCUUAUGAGAAAUCAAAGUCUUUGGGUUCCAGGGGGAGUAUGGUCGCAAGGCUGAAACUUAAAGAAAUUGACGG
rnacentral:rRNA from 1 species